AUUGAACGCUGGCGGCAUGCCUUACACAUGCAAGUCGAACGGCAGCACGGGAGCAAUCCUGGUGGCGAGUGGCGAACGGGUGAGUAAUAUAUCGGAACGUGCCCAGUCGUGGGGGAUAACGCAGCGAAAGCUGUGCUAAUACCGCAUACGAUCUACGGAUGAAAGCGGGGGAUCGCAAGACCUCGCGCGAUUGGAGCGGCCGAUAUCAGAUUAGCUAGUUGGUGAGGUAAAGGCUCACCAAGGCGACGAUCUGUAGCUGGUCUGAGAGGACGACAGCCACACUGGAACUGAGACACGGUCCAGACUCCUACGGGAGGCAGCAGUGGGGAAUUUUGGACAAUGGGCGAAAGCCUGAUCCAGCAAUGCCGCGUGCAGGAUGAAGGCCUUCGGGUUGUAAACUGCUUUUGUAUGGAACGAAACGGUGAGCUCUAAUACAGUUUGCUAAUGACGGUACCGUAAGAAUAAGCACCGGCUAACUACGUGCCAGCCGCCGCCGUAA
rnacentral:rRNA from 1 species